rnacentral:lncRNA from 1 species
CUUAGUUGUGUUUUUAUAGCUAAAAGCAUUGAAAUCAGAAGUAAUGUAAUUUUAACAUAUUAUUAGUUAAAGUUAAUCUAAAAGUAGUAAUCUUCAUUUUAUAAAAAUACAGCGUUAGAACUGCCCUGUCUGUAUGAACCAAAAGAAAAAACGAAAAGAUAAGUAUUUCAGAGGACUGCCAUUUGAAAGUAAUGGGGCUGUUGAAAUUAUUUUAAGUCAGAUUUACAUCUCUUUGCUCAUAGUGAAACGCAACAUAGUAUUGAAUUUCAGUUUGUUAUCUGUUCUUUGCCCAAAGCACAUUAGGAAAAUAUUAUUACAGUUUGAGUAAUUUUCACAUCAUGGGAACAUGUAUAAUGUUACAUAAUUAUUGUAUGCAAUGACCUAAAGCAUUUCAGUUUUACGAGAGGAUAUCAUAACCCAAAAUAUAAACUUUGAAAUUUAAAAUGUAUUGUUGGUGCAGUUUUAGAUUAUAGGUGGCAAAACUGGAGUAAUGUAUCUGCUUUCAAAAAGGAAUUUCAAAUCUUAUAAAUAAAAAAUGAUGCCUUUUCUUCUAAUGAAUUGACAUCAGUGAGGCUUUUAUAAAGGACUUCCAGAUCUGUUGUUUGUUCAUUUGAUAUGUCCAUAAUUACAGUAUUUAGAGCAUCUCAUACUGUGUUUGUUUCUACAUAUUGAACUUUCGAAUGACAAUUACACAAAUGGUAGAGCCAAAGACAAACCAUACUGGCAGUGGAAGUGUGGGCCCCCUCGAGUGGUCCUGUGAGAGUGUUGCCCGAGAAUUGUUAAGGAGGAACUGCUCAGAAAUAUGCCUUAGAGAUUAUCAUGUUUUAGAAAAAUUAGUGACCUAGGCCCUGACCUAAAAUUAUUUCUCAUUAUUUUAUUUUGUUAUACUCUUUAUUAGCUUUUACAUAACACUUUCAUUUUAUAUAAUUUUAGUAGAAAAAAUAGCUAAUAAUAUGCUUCUAUAAGGGACACAUCCUAUUCAUGAUUUCUUUACUCUUAUUUCUUAUUUCAAAUUAUUUUAACUGUCCCUUUUGUAAAUCUCACAUUAGCAAGUUACCUUAAAUCUCUUUUUUAUUUAUUAAGCAUGUUAGAAUUUAAGUUAAAUUUAUUCAGUCAUUGCAGCCAGGCCAGAGGUAAGGUCAUCUGUGAGUAACAAAACCUUCUCCAUUAUGACAUUUUGGUUGUAACCUAAAGAAUAAGAAGGAACAAGUGAGGAAAAGAGAGAAGGAAUGUCCCACCCGGAAGAGAACAACUGAGCAAUUCUCACAUUGGCCAACUUUGGACAUCCUUCUGAUGAGGAGGUAUCUAGUGAUUUUGGAAUAAGUCUGUUAUAAGUUAUUAAGCAAAUGACACUGCUUAAUAGCUCAUCAGCAAAUAAAGAGAAAAUAAAUUUUUGAUGGUUGAAAUAUAGACAAUAGGCAUGUUUUAUCUUUAAUAAGAGCAAAAUAUGUUUUAUCGGUUUUGUUAGAAAUAAGCAGCCUUAAGAAAAUCUUGCACUCUGUGAAUGAGUUUGACUAUCUGCCAAGUCAAUUAAUUUGUGCCAAAGGAGCCAAGGACAUAUAAUGGGCAAAGCAGAGUCUCUUUAAGAAAUAGUGUUCGGGAAACUAGAUAGCCAUAUGUAAAAGGAUGAAACUGGACUACUGUCUUACACCAUAUACCAAAAUGAACUCAAAAUGGAUUAGAGACUUGAAUGUGAGAUCUGAAACUAUAGAACUCCUAGCAGAACACAUAGGUGGUAAGCUCCUUGACUUUGGUCUUGGUGAUUUUUUCAAUCUGACGCAAAAAGCAAAAGUAACAAAAGCAAAAUAAGUAAGUGGGACUACAUAAGACAAAAAAGAUCCAUCACAGCAGAGGAAACCAUCAACAAAAUGAGAAGGCAACCUACACAAGGGCAGAAAAUCCUUGAAAAUCACAUGCAGUAGUCCCUCAUCUACGUUUUUGCUUUGUAAGGUUUCAGUUAACCAAGGUCAACUGCAGUCUGAAAUGUUAAAUGGAAAAUUCCAGAAAUAUGCGAUUCCUACAUUUUAAAUAGUAUGCCAUUCUGAGUAGCUAGAUGAAAUCUCAUACCAUCACGUUCUGUCCCAUCCAGUACAUUAAUCACCCCUUUGGACGGUAUACACUGCUCCUUAAUCAUUUAGCCAACCUGGUAGUUAUCCUGAUUUUGAGUUCUCAGUGUUGACUGUUGCAGUGCUUGUGUUCAGGUGGCCUUUAUUUGACUUAAUAAUGGCACCAAAGUGCAACAGAAAUGAUGCUGGCAGGUCGGGUAUGCCAGAGAGAAGCUAUACAGUGUUUCCUUUAAGUGAAAAGCAGAAUGUUCUCAACUUAAUUAGAAAAGGAAAUAUGUUAAACUGGUAAGACCUGUGUUAAGAACGAGUCUUCUGUUCAAGAAAUCGUGAAGCAGGAAAAAAUAUCCAUGCUACUUUUAUAUGGCACUUCAAAUUGCAAGAGUUAUGGACACAGUGCUUGGUAAAGGCUUAUUGAAGGUGGAAAAGGUCUUAAAUUUGUCCAAUGAGAUAUUUUGAGAGAGAGAGACCACAAACAGAAAAAUUUUGUUACAGUGUAUUGUUAUAAUCGUUUUACUUUAGUUGUUAAUCUCUUACUGUGCCUCAUUUAUGAAUUAAAACAGAUAUGUACAUAUAGGAAAAAACAGUUUGUGUUUUGUUAUACUAUCCAUGGUUUCAGGCACUCCCUGGGAAUCUUGGGAGGGACUGCUGUAUCUGAUAAGGGGUUAAUAUCCAAAAUAUACAAAGAACUCAUAUGACUCAACAAAACAAAAACCACUCUGAUUAGAAGUGAACAAAAGAUCUGAAAAGACAUUUUUCCAAAGAAGUCAAACACAAGGUUAACAAGUGCAUGAAAAGAUACUCAGUAUCACUGAUCAUCACCGGAUAGCAAAUCAAAACCACAAUGAGAUAUCAUCUCACACCUGUUCGGAUGGCUUUUAUGGAAAUGAGAGAAACUAAUAAGUGUUGGUGAGGAUGUAAGGAGAAGGGAAUGUUUGUGCACUGUUGGUAGGAAUGUAUAUCUGUACAAUUGUAGAUUUAUGGAAAUGUAUGGAAAACAACAUGAUGUUACUCAGAAAAUAAAAAAAAUAGAAUUACCAUAUGAUUUAGCAAUUUUACUUCUGGGUAUUUAUCUGAAGAAAAUGAAAACCCUAAUUUGAAAAGAUAUAUGCGCCCCCAUGUCCAUUGCAGUAUUAUUUAUUUAUUUUUAGGGCUGCAGGUGUGGCAUUUGGAAGUUCCCAGGCUAGGUAUUGAAUUGGAGCUGUAGCUGAUGGCCUUCACCACAGCCAUUGCAACGCCAGAUCCAAGAUGUAUCUGUGACCUAUACUGCAGCUCGCGGCAAUGCCAGAUCAUUAACCUACUGAGUGAGACCGAGGAUUGAACCCGCAUCCUCAUGGAUACUAGCUGGGUUUUUUCCUCUGUGCCACAGUGGAAACUCCCAAUUGCAAUAUGAUUUAAAAUAGCCAGAUAUAGAAUUAUCUAAUAUAGAAUAUAUUAGAUAAUUCUAAUAUAGAAUUACCUAAGUGUCCAUUUAAGGGUGAAUGGAUAAAGAUGUGAUAUAUAUCACAUAGAUAAUGGAAUAUUAUUUAUCCAUAAAAAAGAUUGAAAUCUCGCCAUUUGUGACAACAUGGAUAGAUCUAAAGGACAUUUUGCUAAGUAAGAUAAGUCAGUAAAAGAUAAAUACCAUAUGAUCUCACUUCUAUGGGAAACCUAAAACAGUAUAUUUAUAAAUCAAACACAUAGAUACAGAGAACAGAUUGGCGGUGGUCAGAGAUGGGGGGUCGAGAGCACAGGCAAAAUGGGUGAAGGGGGUCAAAAGGUACAAACUCAUUAUAGAAUAAAUAAAUUGUGGGUGUAUAAUGUACAGCUUAGUGACUAUAGUUAAUGAUACCUUAUUGCAAAUAUGAAAGUUGCUAAGAGUAAAUCUUAAGGGUUCUCAUCACAAGAAAAAAUAAUUGUAACUGUGGGUGAAGUUUUUUUAAUUGCCAUUUUAAAUUACUCAGUUGUUAAAAUUUUUUCUUUCUUUCUUUCUUUCUUUCUUUCUUUCUUUCUUUCUUUCUUUCUUUCUUUCUUUCUUUUUUUUUGCUUUUUAGGGCUGCACCUGUGACACAUGGAGGUUUCCAGGCUAGGGGUCAAAUCAGAUCUGCAGCUGCUGGCCUACACCACAGCCACAGCAGCAUGGGAUCCAAGCCUUGUCUGUGACCUUCACCACAGCACAUGGCAAUGCCAGGUCCUUGACCCACUGAGUGAGACCAGGGAUUGAACCUGCCACCUCAAGGUUACUAGUCAGGUUCAUUUCUGCUGCGCCACAACGAGAAUUCCUGUUUCUGUGUUUCUUUUCUUUUUUUUUUUUUCUUUUUUUAAAUUAGUAUAUAGUUGAUUUACAGUGUGGUGUCAAUUUCUGCCGUAUAGCAUAAUGAUCCAGUCAUACAUAUGUAAAUUCUUUUUCUCAUACUAUCUUCCAUCAUGUUCAAGAAAUAGGACCUAGUUCCCUAUGCUGUACAGUAGUAGGAUGUUUUGCUUUUCUCUAGUUGCCUUUGAUGAUAUGAACUCAAAGUAGUUGGAAUCUACCUUGGUUUAAUCUAAAAUGGCAAAUUUGGUUAUGACGAUUUCACUGAAGCAAACAAAACUCGGAACACUAUGUGUGUUUUAUGUAUGUAUGUAUGUAUGUAUUCAUGUAUUUAUUUAUUCACCACCCAUGAGUUUUAGAUACUAGACAUCUCAAUGGCAGCAUUCCUAACUGUAUUAUCUAUGGCAAGAUGUCUCUGUUGUCAAAGCCAUUCUCUUUAAAUGUGUGAAAUAAAACAGUCCUUUACUAUGAAAGGGUAUCUUAUUUUAGAAACUGCUAAAAUAGAGAUCACUGUAAUAUCAUGUCCUCUAGUCAUUGAUGAAAAUUAUCUUUAUGCUGGGUACCUGCUGAAAUGUGUUGACACUGAUUUGACGAAAGUGUUCAUGUUUUUAAAAAAGAAUCUAAAUAUUCUUUUGGAAAAGUAUCUUGUAGUGGAGAUUAACAGACUCUUGUCAGAAAGACUGAGUUCAGUUGUUGGUUUUGUUCCUCAGUGUAACCAUGGACAAAUUAUCUAAAUUUUGAGCCCCGGAUUUCUAAUAUUGAAAAUGAUGAAAUAGCAGUACCUUCAUGAAAGGCUUGCAGUAAAGGUUAAAUACAGAAUGUGUAGUGACUGAUAUGUGAUGAUAGUUUGAUUUUUAGUAAAUUUUGGUUAUUUUUCAAUGCAUUAAAUCUAUUAUACAGUUUUGAUGAGUAUAAUACUAAAUAGACUGUAUAGAUGCUGCAAAAUCAUGUGUAAUUGCUUCAGCCAUUUAUCUCAUAAUUUAAUUGGGAAGCUGGCACAGAGUUGGAAUAAUUAGCAAAGGUAAGACCAGUAUAUUAGUUAAUUUUCACGUAAUACCACAUGUAAAUGGCCAACAAGUGAGGUAACAAUAUAGUUCACAUAUAUUAAGGAAGACUUAAUUGAAGGAAGUAAUGUGUAUAUCAUUUGUAUUAAUUGAAUUUAUAAUUUGUUAUAGGUGACAGUAUAAAUAGAGCUAUACUCUCUGCAGAGAUGUUGAUACUUAAGAGUCAUUUAUUUUAAAAGUAUACUCAGGUUAAAAAGUAAGGUAGAAAUUAUUCAAGCAGUGUAAAGCCAUGAAUCUAUUUGAGAUCCUUUUUUACAGUGUCGUAGGUAUUCAAUUACCUUAGUCACAAAUGUCUCUGAAAAACCACAACAUUUGCAAAUCAGAGAGCUUGUCAUAAGGAACAUAUCCAAAAGCAUAAACAUUUUUACUAUAACUUGUCAGCUGUAUGUGCAGAUGGUAGAAAGCUUGUUUUCUGAAAUGUGAUGGAAAGUAUAAAAAGAAAUUUGACAUUAUUUUUUUUUUCAUUUUUGAAUUUGACUAUCCAAAUAGCUAAAAAGCUGAGAAAUCAAACAGUGAUUUUAUUUUAAGUUCCUGUAAAAAUCAGUGCCCAGGAUUUUUGGAGGUUCAGCUUAAGUUGUUUAUAGACAUUUUAUUAUUAUUAUUAUUAAUGGAAACAUCUGAGUGUCUAUUAAAAAGAGUAGAAAAAACUUGUAUUGGGUAAAUAACAAUAAAAACAUUAAAAAAAAAUAGGUCACUGGGGUAAACCUGAGAUUAUAAAAACUUUGGGAGUUCCUGUCGUGGCGCAGUGGUUAACGAAUCCGACUAGGAACCAUGAGGUUGCUGGUUCAAUCCCUGGCCUCACUCAGUGGGUUAAGGAUCUGGCGUUGCCGUGAGCUCUGGUGUAGGUUGCAGACGCGGCUCGGAUCCCGUGUUGCUGUGGCUCUGGCAUAGGCCGGUGGCUACAGCUCCAAUUAGACCCCUAGCCUGGGAACCUCCAUAUGCCGCAGGAGCGUCCUAAGAAAUGGCAAAAA